UACGUAGGGUGCAAGCGUUGUCCGGAAUUAUUGGGCGUAAAGAGCUCGUAGGCGGUUUGUCGCGUCUGCUGUGAAAACCCGAGGCUCAACCUCGGGCCUGCAGUGGGUACGGGCAGACUAGAGUGCGGUAGGGGAGAUUGGAAUUCCUGGUGUAGCGGUGGAAUGCGCAGAUAUCAGGAGGAACACCAAGUGGCAAGGCAGAUCUCUGGGCCGUAACUGACGCUGAGGAGCGAAAGCAUGGGGAGCGAACAGG
rnacentral:rRNA from 1 species